rnacentral:rRNA from 1 species
GGGGAAUAUUGGACAAUGGGCGAAAGCCUGAUCCAGCCAUGCCGCGUGAGUGAAGAAGGUCUUCGGAUUGUAAAGCUCUGUCGUUUGGGACGAACGUGGGUUGAGUGAAUAAUUCAGCCUAAUGACGGUACCAAAGGAGGAAGCCACGGCUAACUACGUGCCAGCAGCCGCGGUAAUACGUAGGUGGCAAGCGUUGUCCGGAAUUAUUGGGCGUAAAGGGCGUGUAGGUGGAUUCUUAAGUCGUGUGUCUAAGUGCGGUGCUCAACACCGUAUGGGCGCAGGAAACUGGGAAUCUUGAGUGCAGGAGAGGAAAGUGGAAUUCCCAGUGUAGCGGUGAAAUGCGUAGAUAUUGGGAGGAACACCAGUGGCGAAGGCGACUUUCUGGACUGUGUCUGACACUGAGGCGCGAAAGCCAGGGGAGCGAACG